AAAGCCUGGUUUUGGAGAUGACCAGCACAGAGACAUCUUUAGGUCCACAGCUAAGAAACGAUUGCCAUGUUCCUAUGGCAUAUAACGUCGAGAGUAUGCCCUCUACACCGUGCUGAACACUCCAUUUAAUUUCCCUCAGAUUAGCUUUUCUGUUUUCUUCAUUAAAAGCUUGACAUUCCUGCGAUCAGAUUGGUGAGCAGUUUGAGACAGAGAGGCAAGGCAGUGGCCAAAAGAAGUCAAAGUGGCAUUACACUUUUCCCCAAGCAUUCUGCUAAGUCAGCACCUGUGCCGGUAUACAUUGAAGAUCAGGAG